UGUUCUUUCUUCUUCUUCGAUCAAAAUUCAUUUCUCCGACUCUUCGAUUUCUCCGACCAAAAUUCUUUUCUCCGUCGCUUUGUAUGUCUCUACCGGUCGGCGAUCUCUUCUUUGUAUCUGGUGUUUUCGUGAAAUAAAAGAGCAUAAAAGAAUUAGAGCAUCAAGUUUUUUCUCUACUCUGUAAAUCUUUUUUGUUUGGUUGAAUCGCUAAUCCUAAUUGAAAUUUCUCCACCUGCGUUGUGAAUCUGUAUUUAUUUGCUCUUUCGUUUGUCUCUCUAUUCGAUUUUGAUCUGAUGGUUUUGAAUUAUUGGAUUAAGUUCAAUUUCACUCCGAUUAAUAUAUUUGAUGGAUAGUGCUUAAUUGUUAGUUUGCUCUUUUGUUUGCUCUCUAUCAAGCUACAAUUGAUAUAUUUGAAUGUUAGUGGUUAAUUUUUUUCUUGUUAUCUUUCAAUUGUUUGUUUGCAUUUCCAAUUUUCUUUACUUGUUAAAUGUCAUAGUAUUCUUUGCUAAUUCUUUGUGUUUUUUGUUUGCAAAUUCUGAGCUGCGAGUGGGGGUGUAAAGACCAAAGCGACGGCUGUAAGGAGCAUCAAUAGCCACAAGCAUUCCCUCUUCGCUUUGCAAGCUGUGAGAUAUCAAUCGGUUUAGUCAUGAAGAGAGAGGCCAAGCAACGGAUCAGGGAGUUUUUGAAAAUUAAAAUAAGAGGGAGGAGUUGUGUAUUAUUGUGGUGUUGGAAAUCGGCACAAAAGACCAAGAUAAGUCACAAGGAUGGUAUUGUUUAUUUAUGAUAGUGAUGGUGUUUGUUGGAUUUUUUGGGUUUUCUUUCUUUCUUAUGUAUAAUUUGAGACCACACACGAUUUGUUUGCUUUGACACCACAAACUAAGUAUUCAUUGUAUGAUGACUCUUCUAAUUAUAUAGUUAGUAAAC